rnacentral:rRNA from 1 species
AGAGUUUGAUCAUGGCUCAGGAUUAACGCUGGCGGCGUGCCUAACACAUGCAAGUCGAACGGGGUAGCAAUACCUAGUGGCAGACGGGUGAGUAACGCGUGGUCAACCUACCGUUGAGUGGGGGAUAACUAGCCGAAAGGUUAGCUAAUACCGCAUACGAGUCUCGGGGGCAUCCCUGGGCCUUAAAAAGAGCAAUCUGC